rnacentral:tRNA from 1 species
UAUUCCUUAGUGUACGAAGCACAAAAGUUUUUGAUACUUUUAGAGAGAGUUUGAUUCUUUUAGAAAUAA